GCAAAGCCCCAACACAGCCGCAGCGUAGAAUCUGAGAAGACAAUGGCUUGGCGCUCAGGAUCUCUUUCUCGGACGCUAAUGUCGACUGUGCGCUCUUCUUCUUCCAGGUUAACUCCAUCGGCUCCUCAACUCCGGCCGCCGCCGGUCACUGCUCCUCGGCGUCUCCCGGCCCGCCAUUUCUCUGCUCCUUCCAGGAGCUUGGGAGAAUUGGGAUGCGUUCAAUCCUUUUUGCCCAUUUACAGCGUGACAGCAGCAUCCUGUUUGACAUCCCACCUCACUAUUAAUGUCAGGGCUUUUUGCGAGCUGUCUCAUGGUACCUUCUGCCGUACUUGUCAAGAUCGCUAGUGGUCUCUUUGUAAAAAUAGUCAAACAACACUAAGUAUAGGUGAUUAGCUUCUCCCACACACAGCAUUUGAGUUUGGGAUGGAAUUGAUAGGCAGGAGUGUGGAAGAUGGAUGAUGCUCAAGGACAUUCGCUCAUUCUGAGCAGGAGGCUGACACAAUGUUUUGUACUUAAAGUUCAAUGGGAUUAAACACAUCUAUGUGCGGCAAUAUGAGGGUGCAGGGGACUCUUGAAGAGUUGAUACAUCAGGAACUAUGGUCUGGAAUAGGAUAAUAAGUGUUCUUUAUAAUCAGAACUGGGAUUAAAACAUUUGCUAGAUACUCAUGGUCGAGCUGUUAUUUCUUGUUCAUCAUUGUUCACAAUGUCUGUGAUUGAUUUACAACUAAAAAGAAUUUUUAUUUGACGUAGUCUCAGUCAAAUAGUGGAUAAUAUUCUAAACUCCA